AGACAAGUAGGCGAGGUAAAAAGAAACUUUAUUAGCUAGCCAAUGUGAAGGAAGAAAGGGCCAAGUUCACUGGUCUCCGGUGGUGGAGGCCGAGGAAGUCGCUCCCGCGUUCUCCGGCGAGGUUCCUAGGUCCGCAUACGAGGAGAGGCCGAGGAAGUUCGCGCCGCGCGCCUGCCAGGAGCGGCUUUUCUGUCUACGGCUUGGGAGUGGGAGGGCAAUAGACGGGACAUGGGCGUGUCGGGGGCAUUCCGUAGGUGCGGCCAGGUAAGUUUCCGCUUAUGCCAUGCUGCGCCUGCGCAGUUGGUCUGUAUUGUUCCCGGGCGUGGGCUGCAUUUUCCCGCGCGCGGGUAAGUUGGUGAUGAAGAACCCGGAAAUGCGCCGUCUUAGUCGUCUUUGUCCUCUCCCCCCGUCCAGACAUGGCAUGCGUCUGGUGAGAAUUCAUCUGAAGGUAACAACAAUUGAAAUAUGCUGUACCAAUCCUCGUGCCCUAUUUCCCAAGCAGUUUGCAAGCUGGGACCCCCAGCCAGCGAUGUCCCACCUGGGCCUAACUUGGUCACGCUACCUGCUGCAGGAGAUGGUCACCCAUUCAGUCAAGUCUUGCUUUUGCACCGGUUCCCAAGUUCCUGUCUAGCAUCCAAGAAGAAUGAGGUUGCUGACCAUCAAACAGUGAGAAGAAGAAACAUCAGAAGCAGUUAAGGAAACAGAAAUUGGGUUCUCUACGGAAGAAGAGGCAUUCAGCUGGAUGGCUUUUGAAAAGCGUUUGCUGUAGAUUCAUCUGCAAUGACUUUUGUCUUAGAAGUCUUUGAUUUUAUGCACUGACAUGGUUUCUUAUUCUGUUAUAAAUAUACACGGUUCCAGUCCUUCAAUAAACCUGUCACA
rnacentral:lncRNA from 1 species